rnacentral:rRNA from 1 species
UAAUGUAUGGGGAUCUGCCCGAUAGAGGGGGAUAACUACUGGAAACGGUGGCUAAUACCGCAUAAUGUCUACGGACCAAAGCGAGGGGCUCUUCGGACCUUGCACUAUCGGAUGAACCCAUAUGGGAUUAGCUAGUAGGUGGGGUAAAGGCUCACCUAGGCGACGAUCUCUAGCUGGUCUGAGAGGAUGAUCAGCCACACUGGGACUGAGACACGGCCCAG